rnacentral:lncRNA from 1 species
GCCCCAUCUGCUCUCGCAGCGCAGCGGCUGUCAGCUCGCCGGGGGGGGGGGGGGAGGAGGGGAACUGGCUCGGCACCCCCCUCUGACCCGGAGGACGGGUGGCCCUGUGCCAGCCCCCAAAAUCUCGGCAUCGUGCUGGAGCGGCGGGGGGAGCGCAGUGGCACGGUGCCACCUGGCAGCGCUGCGGCCGGCAGGGCCACGCGGACGUCACGCGCGCUCCUCGAGGUCCUCAUAAACACGGUGACGCACCGGAGCUGCCCUCUGGCCCUGCUCCCCACCAACCGCCGGGGCCACGCGGGGAGACCCCCCCCCCACCCUCUCGCGUCACUCUCCCCGGCGCUGGAAGACACCGGAUUGGGGUCCCCAGGAGCUGGGACACGGGGGACAAAGGGCUCUGUUUCUGGCAGCAGCCCCCGUGCAAGGACAGGCAGCCAAACCGGGGCUCCCAGUACGACCAGUGCUGGUUCCCAGCACAGCGCUGUGGCUGCGAGGACGGCAGCUGCAGCACAGACCCCAUCCCAGCGCCGGCACGGGGCGGCCGAUGCGGAGGAGGCGCGUGGCCGUCCCACGGGAGCGGGCUGGGCGCUGUGCCCCUGGCUGUGCGUCCCCCGUGAUAUCACCGCCCCGGCACGCCGCGCUGCUCUGCCGGCUGCGGAACAGGGCCAGGCAGCGGGGGGGGGGACCGGGGGGGCCCCUUGCACCCAGCCCGCUGCUUGGAGACGCGGUGCACACACAGCACCCAUAUGUGCAGAGCCGCGUGCACGCAAGUGUGGCGGCAGCACAGCCCUGCACCCAUCGCCGUGUGCAGCGUGCCCCCUCUCCAUGCACACACGCAGCCCCACUGCGUGCAUUGCACGCACAUACAUGCAAGUUGGCUGCGUGUUCUGUGUGCACACGCAUGCUCAGGGCCCCCGGGACACGUGUGGGGUGGAGGACGGCUGCGGGCGGUUUGGGCGAGCGCUGUGGGGCCGGGCUGGGAGCGGUGUGGGGCUGGGAGCGGUGUGGGGCUGGAGGCUGCCGGCCGGCCAGGGGGGUGGGGUGAGACAUUCCUUGCGGCGCUUGUUAUUUUAUCUGGUUCAAAGUCAGUUCCUGGAAUGUUUUUAAUUCCAGGAUCCCGUCCCUGCGCCGGCAGUUCCCGCCCCGGCCUCCCCAACCGCCUCCGCGCCCCACACUGGGGCUGCAGGGCCGCAGCCCAGCCCCACGCCGUGCCCCACAGCCACGGGGCCCCGCGGAGGGGCUGAGCCCACAGCUGCACCCGCGUGGGUGUGGGGGGCUAUGCACCCCAAAGCGAUCCCCGAGGCGAGGAGUCGGGUCGGGCUGCACCCAUGGGUGCCCCUCAGUUGGAGGCCGCCUGCAGCCCCACGUGGGGGUUGGGGUUCGCCCCCGCGAGCACGGUGGGACCCCGC